UAAUCUGUAAAUGUAAGAAAAACUCGUAAGAUUUUACUCGAAUAUUUCCAAGACCUCGACUUACCUGGCCAUUUUUGGUGUUAAAUACGCGGUUGUGGCAUUUAAAUUUGACUUGGUUGUGACAUAGAAUCAUUUGAAUUGGCAUUGGUGGAAGAACGUUUUCCAUUUUUCAUUAUGUGAGUACUAUUUGCGGCGUCACCUGCGGCGUCGGUGUCGUUGGCGGCUACAACAUUAGCCGACGCUGAUGAUUCAUCAUCAUUCUCAAAUAUGGGCAUAAUACGAUUUUUACAUAAGGCUGUACAAGAGCAGUUCACCGAACAUUUCUGAUCGAGCGAAUUACAUCCGCAACGCUUGUUGCAGCAGUUACCACGGCAUGAGCAGCCCUUGGACUUCCGCUUGUGCUGACCCUGGCCAGUCGCUUUUGUAGUUCCUCCAAGUGUUCCCGAAUGAUUGGACUCAAAGGAGAUCUGUUGUUGAUCCUCUUCCAUGUGGUGGGAGAUGUCGGACUGGGACAUGGACUUUGAAAUUCUAAAGAACGAACAACUUGUGUAUGAUGAUUAAAAAGUACAACUUACAUUUGCUCUCUUUUUGCGUACCAGUGGGGUUUGUUCCCAAUCAGGAUCGGAACUGCUUGUACUACCGUCUUCUUCCUCACUUGUUACUUCAAUUUCUUCUAUGUAUUCCUCCUUAUCUGCCUCUUCCUCCUUAAUGGCCGUGCUCUGCAUUGUAAAAAAGGGAAUUUGUUUUUAGUAAUGAAAGAAAAAAAUGAAGAACAAAUUGUGAAAAUAAACAGUGCAAUGGGUAGGGGGUGACAUCUUUUUGUUGUUCCUUAGUACCAUGAAAUAAAAUUUUAUGAUCAUUGCGGCGCAUAGAUGAA